rnacentral:rRNA from 1 species
UUAAACGAAAGCGUCAAAGCUUACUCAUUUCUCCAUGUAAUUCCCCUAUCUUCCCCAAACCCUUCAUUUUUAAAAAGCAACUCUAUACCUAUAUAGAAAAUUUUAUGUUAAAACUAGUAAUAAGAAGAAAACCUUCUCCUCAAUGUAAGUGUAUAUCAGCAAGGAUUCUCCACUGAUUCUUAACGCCCCUAAUAACAGAGUAACAACUUGUCAAGAAAAGCUUACUCCCCCUAACGUUAAUCUAACACAAGAACAUCCAAGGAAAGAUUAAAAGAGAAAGAAGGAACUCGGCAAAUUUUAGCCCCGCCUGUUUACCAAAAACAUCGCCUCCUGGUUUUAUAUAGGAGGUCCAGCCUGCCCAGUGACAUUGUUCAACGGCCGCGGUAUCCUAACCGUGCGAAGGUAGCGUAAUCACUUGUUCUUUAAAUGAGGACUAGUAUGAACGGCUUCACGAAGGCUAUACUGUCUCCUCUCCCUAAUCAAUGAAACUAAUCUCCUCGUGAAGAAGCGAGAAUUAAUCUAUAAGACGAGAAGACCCUAUGGAGCUUUAAACAACUGAAAUACUUGCUUCUUUUACCCCACUUCCCGAGAAUAAAAUAUAAUCUAGCACCUUUAUUUCUAGUUUUAGGUUGGGGUGACCACGGAGCAAAAAAUAACCUCCAUGCUGAAAGAAACUACUUUUUCUUAGCAAAAAGCUACAGCUUCAUGCAUCAACAAAUUGACUUCUAUUGACCCAAUAAUUUGAUCAACGAACCAAGUUACCCUAGGGAUAACAGCGCAAUCUAUUUCAAGAGCUCAUAUCGACAAAUAGGUUUACGACCUCGAUGUUGGAUCAGGGUAUCCCAGUGGUGCAGCCGCUACUAACGGUUCGUUUGUUCAACGAUUAAAACCCUACGUGAUCUGAGUUCAG